rnacentral:rRNA from 1 species
CCGGGGCUUCUUCUCCCGCUACCGUCAUCAUCUUCACGGGUGAAAGAGCUUUACAACCCUAAGGCCUUCUUCACUCACGCGGCAUGGCUGGAUCAGGCUUGCGCCCAUUGUCCAAUAUUCC